GACGAACGCUGGCGGCGUGCUUAACACAUGCAAGUCGAACGGAAAGACCCUGCUUUUGUGGGGUGCUCGAGUGGCGAACGGGUGAGUAACACGUGAGUAACCUGCCCUUGACAUUGGGAUAACUUCAGGAAACUGGGGCUAAUACCGGAUAGGAGCUCCUGCUGCAUGGUGGGGGUUGGAAAGUUUCGGCGGUUGGGGAUGGACUCGCGGCUUAUCAGCUUGUUGGUGGGGUAGUGGCUUACCAAGGCUUUGACGGGUAGCCGGCCUGAGAGGGUGACCGGCCACAUUGGGACUGAGAUACGGCCCAGACUCCUACGGGAGGCAGCAGUGGGGAAUAUUGCACAAUGGGCGGAAGCCUGAUGCAGCAACGCCGCGUGCGGGAUGACGGCCUUCGGGUUGUAAACCGCUUUCGCCUGUGACGAAGCGUGAGUGACGGUAAUGGGUAAAGAAGCACCGGCUAACUACGUG
rnacentral:rRNA from 1 species